AUGCUGACAGGUAUGCAGCUGUAGUUCUUCAGGCUGAUGGUCUUGACGCGGUGGAAGGUCUCCAGGUCAAUCUUGUGUACGGCAGGUUCAUUUUUGAGGAAGACAAAGGCAAACCUACAUCGACAAAGUUCAGAGGAAAGAAGGGCAGCCAUGAUGAGCGAGCAAUGAGGUCGUCUGUGUUUUAAGAUGGAGCUGCUAUUUAGAAGAAAUCGAUUGUAUUUUACUCCAAUAUUAUUACUUGAUGCAAGCAGCAAAUAAAACAGGAUGACCAUUUCUUUUCAUAAUCCAACUUAAAGCCUAAAGACAAAUGAGUUUGGUCUGUUUUACACAACAUCUUGCUGCUGCUUUAACCUCAUACCUGUUACGGAAAUCGUUGCUUGCUGUCUUUUUGUAAAAUAUGAUAAUCUAGAGUUCAGACAUGAUCUACAUGUACUCUUUCUCUCUGAUUACUGUGUUUGGUUACUGCUGCGAGGAUAAUAAACACAGCAUUGUGACUUCACCUUUAAGGAAAAAAAUUGUUUUGUUUAUGCUUUUCUUCAGUCUGUGGUUAAAAAUGCAUUCAUUGUAGUCUGCUUCUAUUGUUCUAAAGGCCAUUGUUGGAAGGAAGCUACAAAUGCGCCUGGUGGAAAAAGAAAGAGCUUUGAGAUAACAGAGAAACAGAAGAAAGGAUAAAAGGGAGGAUGCAUUAACCUCCUGCACCCAGAGGCCAGAAAGGGUCUUCAAGAAAGAGAAAAAAGACAGGGUGAUGAAGGGAAGUGAGUUUUACAGCGAGGGGCAGCUGGUGGUCUGCAGUACACCAAAUGUUGUGAGAACAUCUCUUCUUUUUCUUGUUUCACUUUCAGUCAAAGCAAGUCCUUUCUCAGACAGGUCUCAUAAAUAUCCUACCUUUCGUUGCCUUUAAGUUUCUUUAAACUGACAACAAGGUUAGGUCACAGGUUUCUAAUGACAUUUUUGCACUGCUACCUGCUCAGUUUGCUGUCUCGCUCAUUCUCUCUACUCAGACUUUCACUUAUCUCCUUUCUCCUCUCCCGCCUCCUUCUCCUUGAGUUAGGCCUAUUUCCUCUCAUCCUGUACCUCAGUAUAAAUGAUGUUGACCCUGAGAAGAACCCCUGAGGGAUUCAGUCUCUAAACAGCCGUUACAGGCAAGAUGAAUGGCGAGGCAGCCAGCACCCACAUGGGCACCAUAUUGUUUCAAGUGCUUGAGGUGCAUUUGAUUUAUUUUGCCUUGCAUGUGGUCUUCUUACAUCAGUUGCAGCUCAAUACCAUGGCAAACUGAAUCAGAUACGCCUCGCGUCUAGUCAAACAUCGGCUGCAUGUGUAUAGUUUGAAUGCAUGCAUUUUUUUUUUCCUUUAUGACUUAAAGUAAAGCUUGGUUUGAAAAUGUAAUCUCCGGCUACAUUUAUAAUAUCAUGUGAUGGUAUAGCUAUGUUAAAGUCAGCAUCCUCAACAGCUGAUGAUCAUGUAGAAAUCAUUGGAUUAAAAGAAACGGUGUGUUUUUGUUCUUAUUGCACUGUAGAGCUGGUCAGCCUUAAUUAGUUCUGUAGGAAAAUAUCCAGACCGUGUUCUAGGCCUGUUUGGAUCCUGUGGCAAAACAAACUUUAAUCGGCAACACAGUUAUUAGAUUACUAUUUGUAAUUUAAAACAGUAUGUUUCAGAAAAAUAACACUGGAUGGAACAAUUUGGGACAAAGAAAAAAAGAACUUGACGUCUACUAAAAAGCAGUAAUUGUGCAGUAUAUCCAGAGAAACUUGCACUUAAUCUCACAUCAUUUUUGCUUUUCUCAUUUGAGAUGGUUCUGAGCGUUGAACUUUUUCUGUUAGCGCUUU